rnacentral:lncRNA from 1 species
GUUUCGAAGAAAAAACCAGUUGAAGAGAACCUUUGAAUUGUGGUGAUCUGAGCUUGCUUCCUUGCUUCCUUUGGCCAAACAAAACUUCAAUGGACUAUGAGAGAGAGGUCUAGGAACUUUAGAUCUAGAAAUUCAACCAGAUUUAGUUGAAUUUCAGAUCUGAGAAAUUUGAGUGAAAAUGAAAUAGUUCCUUUGGUGAGAGGUUUGGUUUUCA